GUCUACGGCCAUGCCACCCUGAAUGUACCCAAUCUCGUCUGAUCUCAGAAGCUAAGUAGGGUCAGGUCUGAUUAGCACUUGGAAGGGAGACCACCUAAGAAUACUAGGUGCUGUAGGAG
rnacentral:rRNA from 1 species